rnacentral:rRNA from 1 species
AUUGAACGCUGGCGGCAUGCUUUACACAUGCAAGUCGAGCGGCAGCGAGAGAGAAGCUUGCUUCUCUUGUCGGCGAGUGGCGAACGGGUGAGUAAUACAUCGGAACGUACCCUGUAGUGGGGGAUAACUACUCGAAAGAGUAGCUAAUACCGCAUACAACCUGAGGGUAAAAGUGGGGGACCGCAAGGCCUCACGCUAUAGGAGCGGCCGAUGGGAGAUUAGCUAGUUGGUAGGGUAAAGGCCUACCAAGGCGACGAUCUUUAGCGGGUCUGAGAGGACGAUCCGCCACACUGGGACUGAGACACGGCCCAGACUCCUACGGGAGGCAGCAGUGGGGAAUUUUGGACAAUGGGCGAAAGCCUGAUCCAGCAAUGCCGCGUGAGUGAAGAAGGCCUUCGGGUUGUAAAGCUCUUUUGUUUGGGAAGAAAUCCUAACGGAUAAUACCUGUUGGGGAUGACGGUACCAAAAGAAUAAGCACCGGCUAACUACGUGCCAGCCGCCGCAGUAAAAC